rnacentral:tRNA from 1 species
AGUAAAAUAAUUUAAAUAAAAAAUAUUUACCUUGAAAGUAAAAAAUGAAUUCAAAUUUCUUUUACUU